GGAGACUCAUGUUCGAAAAACGAGUUGUGCAUUAAAUUGCUGCGGAUGGGCGGCUAAACCCUUGACUAAUUCCGACCCGGAUUAGCUCAAGAUAAUCCCGAGUGGUCAACAAAAACCCUUAAUUCCUUCCAAGGCCUUGUUCGUCGGUGAAUCUUUUGUGAGUAACUUCAUAUCCGUCGCAGCUAUUUUGACUGGGCCAAAAACGUCAGACUGUGAGCUAUUCGAUCUACUGAGGUCGCUCUUUUCAAAAAAGUUGUCAUUGACCGCAAAAAAGAUGAGGAAACAUUCCGAACGAUCUCCCAAGACACAUGCACAUGAUUUCACAGGUUUCCGGAGCGUGACGCAGAUCUAGCGGGUACCUUGGGAAUUGAACUGUUCAUUCAUCAGUAUUCAGGGCCGUUCUCGAGACCAGUAUCUGUAUCUGUUCUAAACAGAGGGCAGACAUCUAUCGGACUGCCCUCUCAACCCACCCUUCUUCGAGCUUACCGAGUGCUCAACAACAGAAACAAGUGAACAUUUCAAGUCGGAAAGGCGUAUAGAAUUGAAUCUCAUUUCAAGAUUGCGUCGCUUAUCCAUGUUAUUUGCUGACCCUGAGUCUCGGAACUGGGGAUGGUGAUGGUAAGUGCUUUUCGCUUUGAUGCUCCCACAAUGAACCCCAGCAUCAUCUGAGAAGGAGCAAGCAGCCAGCAUCUUCCAAAUUACUCUCACACAGACAAGGCUUUAAUCUUUCAUUCAAAUUGAAGUCCACGAGAGAUGAGGGAGGGCGGAAAAUUCCAGUCCUCUGAAUAGACAUUAACAGCAUCGACAGUGAAAGAAGGUGUGCAUGACCAAGACAGAUCCCGCUGAAGGACUUUGGAGCCCAGAGCCCAGCGAGCGUCUAUGGAAUGAAUGUCUCCAUGUAACAAACUACAGCGAUAUAGAGAUGAGUGACCAGAAAUGAUCUGAAUGUCGCUUUGGAUCACCUUAAUGGAAUUGCCGAGACGAGCAGAUUGCCGAACCAGAACCAAAAUAUCACCAACUAGGUUUGGUCUGCUUGAGGUGUUAAUUGAAAACCACCAUUGCUAUUUGACAUAUCCGGGUGAAAGCAGCAUUCUUACUUUGGUGAUAUCUGACGUCACGAUUAACAGGUUCUAUUAGAUAGAACUCUGCCCUAAGCAAGACAUGAAGAUUUGAUUGUUGUGCAGAUAAAACUUGAAUUAUACAAAAUGACUGAGGGGACUUCAAA